rnacentral:rRNA from 4 species
AAAAGACUCUCGGCAACGGAUAUCUCGGCUCUCGCAUCGAUGAAGAACGUAGCGAAAUGCGAUACUUGGUGUGAAUUGCAGAAUCCCGUGAACCAUCGAGUCUUUGAACGCAAGUUGCGCCCGAAGCCGUCAGGCCGAGGGCACGUCUGCCUGGGCGUCACGC